CCAUUAGCACACUACAUCACACACCAGCGGCCAUCGCCCGUCGCCUUAGACCGGUGCCGCAACCGCCACCGCCUCGCGUUGCUGCAGCCCGAGUUCUACACUACCUUUACACCGCCGCUGCAAACCACCGUCGUUCUGCACCGCCGCUGCAAACCACCGUCGCCGUCUUGCAAGCACAUGGAUCCAGAUGCUGCGAGGGGCGGUGACCACCGGGGGCGCUAGGGGGCACGGCCGCGUAUGCGCGAGCGCAGGCUUGGCUACUAAGCCGUCGAUGUAGCAUGGGCGGUGAUUCGCUCAGCAUCUCUGUUGCAGAAGCACGCCGACGCUGCAUACCCGAGCCACCAGCGAACUACUGCGGCUGCACAGCAGUGUUGUGGGGCAACGAACGCCACUGCAAAAUACGACGUCGAGCACCAUUGCAGCGGAAGGGACAUCGACGCUGCACUGGCCGGCGAUGUUGUGCCACACGACGGAGCGUGGUAAGGCUGCAGUGGCUGGCGUUGUUGUGCCACACGAUGGACACUCAUCGGCGGCCGCGGGUGCUGCAAUGUAGCGCUCGUCGGCGGCUCAUUGCUCCGUCGGGGCUGUAAUGAAGCGUUGCCGGAGUUGCAGUGAAGCGCCGCAGGGUCGUUGAAUCUCCAUCGGGACUGCAAUGAAGCGUUGCCGUAAUUGCAGUGAAGGGCUGCAGGGUCGUUGAAUCUUCAUCGGGGUUGCAAUGGAGCGCCGCGGCGGGUCAUUGAAGCUCCGCCGGGGCUGCAAUGAAACUUUGCCGGAGCUGCAGUGAAGCGCCACGGGGUCAUUGAAUCUCCGCCGGGCGCCGUCAGUGCUUCGCUCCGAGCGCUGCUGCCAUGGAAGCUGUUGCGCUGAAGCUUUUUGCCGUGCUGGCUCUGGUGCUGUGAGGUAGCCGACGCAGCAGAGAAGGAAGACGAGGUAGUUGGUGCUUCUGUGCGUGAUCGACGGGAGAACAGAGAGAGACGACGGCUCUGUUUGUUGCGAUCGAACGGCCAGUUUCCAUCAGAUCGGACGGUUGUUUAGGCGGAUGAUUUCGCGGUUGAUUUGUAGCAACGCCCAUGAUUUAACGAGGACAGAGUGUAUAGCAGUAACAUAGCUGGUUACGUAACUUCGCGCUUCAUACAACAAAUUUUUAAUGCAAACCGAUCCGCUUCGGCGUCCCCAUCGCGAAGAAAAAGAAAAAAAAAACAGCUUUCCCUACCGCUCCAUCCUCUCCUUCCCUGCCGCCUCCAUCCUCUCCCUCGCUGCCGCCUCCAUCUCCCUCGCCACGCUCUCCGUCUCGCCGGCCGGCGGCGCGAAGCCACCCGAAUCGUGGCCAAGUCUGGUGCCCGUAGGGAGGCGGCGCCAGUUCGGUCAUUGGCGACUUCGCCGCCGCAGCAGCACGUCCCCGGCGCCCCGGCAAGCUCGUGCGCCAGCCACUGGCCACAACAACUUUUCUACCCCGACGCUCUGACGAGCUCGUCCGCCAGCCCGUCGACACCAUCGUACCUGUAUGGGCGCCGCUGGGGAAGAAGCGUGACGUGGAAUGCAUGAACGAGACUAUGGAGCUGAUCAAGACGACCAUGGUGAAGGCACGACAAGGGACGACUGCUUGAUCAUGAGACCCCUACUUUUAGCUAUCUAUCUACUUGAUGCUCCGCUUUUGUGCUCUUGAACUUCUGGCUGUUGCCUGCUUAGCUUUAUUCUGAGCCUUGGGUUCGAUGACUGUUUUAUUCGGUUUGUAAGACUUAAGUAUGUGUGGAUCCUGCCUGGUGGCUUUAUUAAUUUAAAGCCGGACGCUCCUAGCGUCUAUGUUCCAAGAAAAA